CCUACGGGUGGCAGCAGUAGGGAAUGUUCGUCAAUGGGCGCAAGCCUGAACGAGCGAUGCCGCGUGAGUGAAGAAUGCCUUCGGGUCGUAAAGCUCUGUUGCGGGGAAAAAAGGCAGCAUCAGGAAAUGGGUGCUGACUGAGGGUGCCCCGCCAGAAAGACACGGCUAACUACGAGCCAGCAGCCGCGGUAAUACGUAGGUGGCGAGCGGUAUCCGGAAUGAGUGGGCGUCAAGGGUGCGCAGGCGGUCCUGCAAGUCUGGAGGGAAACGCAUGAGCUCAACUCAUGCAUGGCUUUGGAAACUGGAGGCCUGGAGCGCAGGAGAGGUCGGUGGAACUCCCUGUGUAGCGGU
rnacentral:rRNA from 1 species